UACGGAGGGUGCAAGCGUUGUUCGGAUUUAUUGGGCGUAAAGCGCGUGUAGGCGGUCUUUUAAGUCUGAUGUGAAAGCCCCGGGCUCAACCCGGGAAGUGCAUUGGAAACUGGGAGACUUGAAUACGGGAGAGGGUAGUGGAAUUCCUAGUGUAGGAGUGAAAUCCGUAGAUAUUAGGAGGAACACCGGUGGCGAAGGCGGCUACCUGGACCGAUAUUGACGCUGAGACGCGAAAGCGUGGGGAGCAAACAGG
rnacentral:rRNA from 1 species